AUGCGUAGGUGACGUGCCCUGCGGUCGGGGAUAGCUUAGGGAAACUUAAGGUAAUACCCGAUGACACCAUGAGGUUUGAAUACCAUAUGGUCAAAGGUGUGAUUCCACCACAGGAGCGGCUUGCGUGGUAUUAGCUAGUUGGUGAGGUAACGGCUCACCAAGGCAACGAUGCCUAGGGGAUGUUAGCGCAUGAUCCCCACCACUGGGACUGAGAUACUGCCCAGACACCUACGGGUGGCUGCAGUCGAGAAUCUUCGGCAAUGGGGGAAACCCUGACCGAGCGACGCCGCGUGUGGGAUGAAGGGCCCUUGGGUUGUAAACCACUGUCAGAGGGGAUGAAGUGCUAGAAAGCUAUCUUUCUAGUUUGACAUAGCCUCAGAGGAAGCACGGGCUAAGUUCGUGCCAGCAGCCGCGGUAAGACGAACUGUGCAAACGUUAUUCGGAAUCACUGGGCUUGAAGAGUGCGUAGGCGGUUUCGUAAGUAGGGUGUGAAAGCCCUCGGCUCAACCGGGGAAUUGCGUCCUAAAC
rnacentral:rRNA from 1 species